AAAAAAGGCAGGACUGAAUAGACUGAAAAUUAAAAAGACGGGAAAGAGAUUACAACUAAAAAAAUGCAGGACAAAAUGUUCCAUUCAAGUCCCCCACAUAAAUCAAAAUAAAAUGGUAGCCCUUAGGGACAAAAUCAAAAGAUCAAUGUAAGAUAAAAAAAAAAAAAAAAUCGAAUAAUUUGUUGGUUGGGGGUGAAAAGUGCUGCAAUUUUUGUUUAUUUGACACCG
rnacentral:lncRNA from 1 species